rnacentral:rRNA from 1 species
UACGUAGGUGGCGAGCGUUGUCCGGAAUUAUUGGGCGUAAAGGGAGCGCAGGCGGGAAGGUAAGUCUAUCUUAAAAGUGCGGGGCUCAACCCCGUGAGGGGAUAGAAACUAUCUUUCUUGAGUGCAGGAGAGGAAAGCGGAAUUCCUAGUGUAGCGGUGAAAUGCGUAGAUAUUAGGAGGAACACCAGUGGCGAAGGCGGCUUUCUGGACUGUAACUGACGCUGAGGCUCGAAAGCGUGGGGAGCGAACAGG